GAUGAACGCUGGCGGCGUGCUUAACACAUGCAAGUCGAACGGAAAGGCCCUGCUUUUGUGGGGUGCUCGAGUGGCGAACGGGUGAGUAACACGUGAGUAACCUGCCCUUGACUUUGGGAUAACUUCAGGAAACUGGGGCUAAUACCGGAUAGGAGCUCCUGCUGCAUGGUGGGGGUUGGAAAGUUUCGGCGGUUGGGGAUGGACUCGCGGCUUAUCAGCUUGUUGGUGGGGUAGUGGCUUACCAAGGCUUUGACGGGUAGCCGGCCUGAGAGGGUGACCGGCCACAUUGGGACUGAGAUACGGCCCAGACGCCUACGGGAGGCAGCAGUGGGGAAUAUUGCACAAUGGGCGGAAGCCUGAUGCAGCAACGCCGCGUGCGGGAUGACGGCCUUCGGGGUGUAAACCGCUUUCGCCUGUGACGAAGCGUGAGUGACGGUAAUGGGUAAAGAAGCACCGGCUAACUACGUG
rnacentral:rRNA from 1 species